rnacentral:rRNA from 1 species
UAGUCCACGCCCUAAACGAUGAAUGUUAGUCGUCGGGUAACUAGUCUAUUCGGUGAUGCAGCUAACGCAUUAAACAUUCCGCCUGGGGAGUACGGUCGCAAGAUUAAAACUCAAAGGAAUAGACGGGGACCCGCACAAGUGGUGGAGCAUGUGGUUUAAUUCGAAGAUACGCGAAGAACCUUACCUAGCCUUGACAUAUUUAAGAACACUUUAGAGAUAGAGUGGUGCCUUCGGGAGCUUUUAUACAGGUGCUGCACGGCUGUCGUCAGCUCGUGUCGUGAGAUGUUGGGUUAAGUCCCGCAACGAGCGCAACCCUCGUCACUAGUUACUAACGGUUCGGCCGAGGACUCUAGUGAGACUGCCUUCGCAAGGAGGAGGAAGGUGAGGACGACGUCAAGUCAGCAUGCCCCUUAUGCUCUGGGCUACACACGUGCUACAAUGGCCGUGACAAAGAGUUGCUACUUUGUGAAAACAAGCCAAUCUCAUAAACGCGGCCUCAGUUCGGAUUGC